GGGUCGUUAGCUCAGUUGGUAGAGCAGCGGACUCUUAAUCCGUAGGUCGAAGGUUCGAAUCCUUCACGGCCCACCA
rnacentral:tRNA from 1 species